UCUCCGUUGGUGAACCAGCGGAGGGAUCAUUACAGAGUUGCGAAACUCCCUAAACCAUUUGUGAACCUACCCCCAAAACAGUUGCUUCGGCGGCGCCCUAGCCGGCCCGCCGGAGACCGCCAAACUCUUGUCUUUUAGUGUAUUUCUGAGUGGCAUAAGCAAAUAAAUCAAAACUUUCAGCAACGGAUCUCUUGGUUCUG
rnacentral:misc_RNA from 1 species